rnacentral:rRNA from 1 species
UACGUAGGGUGCAAGCGUUAAUCGGAAUUACUGGGCGUAAAGCGUGCGCAGGCGGUCUUGCAAGACAGAUGUGAAAUCCCCGGGCUCAACCUGGGAACUGCAUUUGUGACUGCAAGGCUGGAGUGCGGCAGAGGGGGAUGGAAUUCCGCGUGUAGCAGUGAAAUGCGUAGAUAUGCGGAGGAACACCGAUGGCGAAGGCAAUCCCCUGGGCCUGCAUUGACGCUGAGGCGCGAAAGCUAGGGGAGCAAACGGG